rnacentral:rRNA from 1 species
GACGAACGCUGGCGGCGUGCUUAACACAUGCAAGUCGAACGAAGUGGCGAACGGGUGAGUAACGCGUAAUCAACCUGCCCUUCAGAGGGGGCCAACAGUUGGAAACGACUGCUAAUACCGCAUACUGAAGGAGGGGAUUGCGUCUGAUUCGCUAGUUGGAGGGGUAACGGCCCACCAGGGCGAUGAUCAGUAGCCGGGUGGAGAGGAUGCACGGCCAAAUUGGGACUGAGACACGGCCCAGACUCGUACGGGGGGCAGCAGUGGGGAAGCUUCCGCAAUGGACGAAAGUCUGACGGAGCAACGCCGCGUGAGUUAUGACGGCCGUGGGGGUGUAAAGCUCUGUUAAUCGGGACGCGGUACCGGAAUAGAAAGCCACGGCUAACUACGUGCCAGCAGCCGCGGUAAUAC